rnacentral:RNase_P_RNA from 1 species
GAAGCUGACCAGACAGUCGCCGCUUCGUCGUCGUCCGCCUUCGGGGGGAGACGGGCGGAGGGGAGGAAAGUCCGGGCUCCAUAGGGCAAGGUGCCAGGUAACGCCUGGGGGGUGUCACAGCCCACGACCAGUGCAACAGAGAGCAAACCGCCGAUGGCCCGCGCAAGCGGGAUCAGGUAAGGGUGAAAGGGUGCGGUAAGAGCGCACCGCGCGGCUGGUAACAGUCCGCGGCACGGUAAACUCCACCCGGAGCAAGGCCAAAUAGGGGUUCAUAAGGUACGGCCCGUACUGAACCCGGGUAGGCUGCUUGAGCCAGUGAGCGAUUGCUGGCCUAGAUGAAUGACUGUCCACGACAGAACCCGGCUUAUCGGUCAGUUUCACCU